rnacentral:rRNA from 1 species
AACGUAGGACACAAGCGUUAUCCGGAGUUACUGGGCGUAAAGAGCGCGUAGGCGGCUCGUUAAGUGUGAAGUGAAAUCUCUAGGGCUCAACCCAGAAACUGCUUUACAUACUGGCGAGCUGGAGUGAUGAAGAGGUUUGUGGAAUUCCUGGUGUAGCGGUGAAAUGCGUUGAUAUCAGGAGGAACACCCAUGGCGAAGGCAGCAAACUGGUCAUCAACUGACGCUGAGGCGCGAAAGCGUGGGUAGCAAACAGG